UAGGGAAUCUUCCACAAUGGACGCAAGUCUGAUGGAGCAACGCCGCGUGAGUGAAGAAGGUCUUCGGAUCGUAAAGCUCUGUUGUUGGUGAAGAAGGAUAGAGGCAGUAACUGGUCUUUAUUUGACGGUAAUCAACCAGAAAGUCACGGCUAACUACGUGCCAGCAGCCGCGGUAAUACGUAGGUGGCAAGCGUUGUCUGGAUUUAUUGGGCGUAAAGCGAGCGCAGGCGGAAUGAUAAGUCUGAUGUGAAAGCCCACGGCUCAACCGUGGAACUGCAUCGGAAACUGUCAUUCUUGAGUGCAGAAGAGGAGAGUGGAACUCCAUGUGUAGCGGUGGAAUGCGUAGAUAUAUGGAAGAACACCAGUGGCGAAGGCGGCUCUCUGGUCUGCAACUGACGCUGAGGCUCGAAAGCAUGGGUAGCGAACAGGAUUAGAUACCCUGGUAGUCCAUGCCGUAAACGAUGAGCGCUAGGUGUUGGGGACUUUCCGGUCCUCAGUGCCGCAGCAAACGCAUUAAGCGCUCCGCCUGGGGAGUACGACCGCAAGGUUGAAAC
rnacentral:rRNA from 1 species